rnacentral:lncRNA from 1 species
GAGGUUCCGGAGGGAUGCCCCACAGGCCGAACAGAGGUUUCUAGGGAUUAAAAUGGAAUAGCCAGUAUUCCCGAGGCGUCCAUAGCAGCCUAGAAGUUGAGGGAUGGGUAGACAGAAACACAUUUGGCUUUACGUGUUCGUUUCUUUUCUUUCUCCCUUGGCAUUCCUUUCCUCCUUUCUGCUUAGGAAAUUUGGAGCCAGUUUGUAGGCAGUUUGGAGCCAAAGGCCUCACAUUUCCCAGCUGAUGAUAGGCCCUAAUCACUCUCAUCUUCCUACAAGCCUGUAACAGAGGAGUUUCCACUUCUGGGAAUCUUGGUACUUUAAUGUCAGGUUCCUUACUGUCUGUAGCCAAGGCUUAGAACCCAUACUGGAUUCCCAUACUGGACUACAACUGAGGUGGAGGUGACUUCUCAUGGGCCUCCAGAGGAAUCCAGGGCUUCUGCUGACAGGCCUGUGUGUGGGACUGCUUUUCAGUUGGAUGAACCUCGCUCAGCCAACCGACCUCUCAGACUACACGGGAUGCCGAAGGCCGCCACUACCCUGGUUUUUUCUGUCCUCGCCUCUCUGAUACUCCCGAGGAAGCCUACUGUUGCCACCUGCAGGCUGCUGGGGGUUCCUGCUGUACCCUGGAUGAAUUUGAGGCCCUGUACCAAGUAAACUUGUCUACUCUUCAGCCCCCACCCAUCCUCAGAGGCCCAGGCCCGCUCUUAGCACUGGGCAUCUACAGUCUACUGUUGAUGGCAUUGAUGACUGCAGAUUUCGUGCACUUCUGCCGUGGUCCGGGACGGAGAGAAAGGCAAAACUCCCGCGGCCG